GAUGAAGAACGUAGUGAAAUGCGAUAAGUAAUGUGAAUUGCAGAAUUCAGUGAAUCAUCGAAUCUUUGAACGCACAUUGCGCCCGCCAGUAUUCUGGCGGGCAUGCCUGUUCGAGCGUCACUUCAACCAUCAAGCCCCAGGCUUGUGUUGGGGACCUGCGGCUGCCGCAGGCCCUGAAAACCAGUGGCGGGCUCGCUGUCACACCGGGCGUAGUAGAUUUUAUCUCGCUCAGGGCGUGCUGCGGGUUCCGGCCGUUAAAAAGCCUUUUUUACCCAAGGUUGACCUCGGAUCAGGUAGGAAGACCCGCUGAACUUAAGCAUAUCAAUAAGCGGAGGA
rnacentral:misc_RNA from 1 species